UACGGAGGAUGCAAGCGUUAUCCGGAUUCAUUGGGUUUAAAGGGUGCGCAGGCGGAAUGAUAAGUCAGUGGUGAAAUCCUACGGCCUAACUGUAGAACUGCCAUUGAUACUGUCAUUCUUGAGUACACUUGAAGUGGGCGGAAUGUGUCAUGUAGCGGUGAAAUGCUUAGAUAUGACAAGGAACACCGAUCGCGAAGGCAGCUCACUAAAGUGCAACUGACGCUCAGGCACGAAAGCGUGGGGAU
rnacentral:rRNA from 1 species